rnacentral:misc_RNA from 1 species
GACCUAGCAAAAGCACAAGCCUCUCUAAUACCCUUUAACGUUGGAGAAGAUCCCCCAUCAUCUGAAAGAUACACAGAGAGCUUCUCCGGUGGAUAAUCCAGCGCCAUAGCAGAUAAAACAGUGUUCAUUACCUCCACUGGCGGCUCUUUCUUGGGGUCUGCGGCGCAAAUGAACACAUCAAUAGCAGGAAGAUCUUUAUUUUCUGGCAACCUUUUAUGGGAGAGGUGUUCGAGAAACUGGUGCCCUUAGAAAAGCUUGUCUAAAGAGCCAGAUAAGAGAAAGUAAGAGCUCAGAGGCAGAGAGUAGAAGACAAGGGAGUGCAGGUUUUGGUAGGGGAAAAGAAAAGAGUCUACAGUAGAUCAGGGCCAUCAAGGCUAUGAAGUGAAAGAGAGCAUAGGAGCGAUUGAUGAUGGUUGAGCGUAUGUGAGGAGUGCGAAGAUGGAGAGGAGAAUUCAUCUUUGACUUGCUGGUUGAUUAGGGUUUGGUGGAAAAUAAAUGUUAGCUUGGGUCUAUAUAGAUGGAUUUGUGAGUUC